rnacentral:rRNA from 1 species
GACGAACGCUGGCGGCAUGCCUAACACAUGCAAGUCGAGCGAGCAGAUCCCUUCGGGGUGAAGCUAGCGGCGGACGGGUGAGUAACACGUGGGCAACCUACCUCAUAGAGGGGAAUAGCCUUCCGAAAGGAAGAUUAAUACCGCAUAAGAUUGUAGCUUCGCAUGAAGCAGCAAUUAAAGGAGCAAUCCGCUAUGAGAUGGGCCCGCGGCGCAUUAGCUAGUGGGUGAGGUAACGGCUCACCAAGGGGACGAUGCGUAGCCGACCUGAGAGGGUGAUCGGCCACAUUGGGACUGAGACACGGCCCAGACUCCUACGGGAGGCAGCAGUGGGGAAUAUUGCACAAUGGGGGAAACCCUGAUGCAGCAAUGCCGCGUGAGUGAUGACGGCCUUCGGGUUGUAAAGCUCUGUCUUCGGGGACGAUAAUGACGGUACCCGAGGAGGAAGCCACGGCUAACUACGUGCCAGCAGCCGCCGUAA